UAAAAGGAGGCAAUAAAACAUCCCCACAAACUCUGAACAUGUGUGGGAAUAUCCUGACUGGAUUAGGUCAGCAACUAUCAACUACAGCCUAUUGUAAGGUACCUGAAGAACUUUAAAGAACUGUAAUUAUUUUGUAAAAAAGACAGAUGUUUGAAUGUGUAAACUGACUGACUUGAAGUCUCUGGCUGACAUUCAAAAUGUUCCCUUUCUUUAUUCUUUGGGAAGUGUUUGUAUUAUAGCAAUCAAGAUAAAUGCAGCAAUGUAUUUUCAAUCUUAUUUGUCUUAAUUCUUGAAAAGAAGCCAUCAAAAAAUUGAUAAUUUAACUCAUGUGGAAACCUGUGUGCGUGGGCUUUCUAAGAGUGAUGCAGAGCAUCUAGAAGCAUGCACUGUUCGCAUGUGACCCUGGGUUUGGGCCAGGCUUCAUGCCACACUCUCCAUUUUCAUGUUAUUUUUACGUGCAUGAUGUCAGUGUUCCGAGCUGUGGGAAAACAGCUGCAUAAUUCCACCUACGACUGUUCUUUUGUUCUGAAUUACUUUACAUGCUUUCCCAGAUAUUAAUAAAAGAGGUACCACUAUCACUGUCUGUACAGAAAAAAAAUCGUAGAAUUGCCAAGGUUGGAAAAGACCUCCACGAUCAUCCAGUCCAACCACUGACCUACCACCAGUAUUUCCCCACUAAACCAUGUCCCUUUGUAGCACAUCAGCUUAAUCCAUCAAACAGUUGAUGUGAUCUCCAGAUCACUUCUUCAGCUGAAUGCGUUACGGGAGGCGUUACCGACGUGUUCACCAGGCUCUGACUCCCCCUCACAACCACACAGGUGAGAUAAGCGCCGCUUUAAGAGCGCGGACCGGAGCCGGAGGACCCCGCGGAGUGCCGGGCACUACGCCGCACGGCCGGCAGAGCUGAGGCAACAGCGCCGCCUGCCGUUCUCCCGCACCGCUGCUAGUCCUCAUCGCCGUGUAGUAGCUUUAUGAGCCGGGAUCUCGAUAGCGCCGAGCACGAGGCGAGCUCGGACGGGACGUACGGGUCCGAGGGCAGCUGUCCGCGGGCGGGUGCGAAGGGCAGAGGGCGGUGGCAGCACAGCAGCGAGCAGACUGGCGUGCCGCCACUUCCGCGUGGCGCUUUACGACGGGGCGCCUCCUGUUUACGACACUGUCGCGCGACAUCGGCUGGGAGAGCCAAUAGGGGGGGCGCGCACUGCCUUACAGCACGGCCGCGGCGACAACGAGCGGCGCACGUGAAGUGAGCGGCCUCGGACGGGACAGGGAGGAGCCAGUAUUGUCACAAUGAAAGCCUGGAAUAGAAACAAGUUACCAGGAAAGAGCGGAAAAGCGUCUUGUGGAAAACAGCUGCAUGGAAAAAGAAGGUUUAAGAAAGAUGAUGAUUUGGUUCCUUCGAAGACUUUUCAUAGUAAAGGAGAUGAGGAGGAAAAACCUAAAUCCAUUUCCAAAAAGUUUGUGAAAGGAAAUGUGAGACCUGGAAGAGCUAGUGUCAAACAAUUCAAGAAUAAACAGCAGUCAGAAAAGCUUGCAAAGAAGAGGAAAUACCAGGAUGACAUGCAGGGAGAAUCAGAUUCUAAGAAGCCUAAAUGGAAUGACUUCAAAAGGAAAAAGAAGGAGUUAAAGCAAAGCAGACAACUUAAUGAUAAAAGUAAUUAUGACAUAAUUGUAAAAUCAAAGCAAAUAUGGGAGAGUGUGAGAAGAGAUAGAACUGAACUGAACUAUGGAAGUGCAGUUUCCUUAAGAUUGCUUUACUUCCCUUCUUGUAGGAAGAAAUGUGACAAGGAGAAGCGGGAAAAGCUGAUGAAUGAGCUACAAAAACUACUUCAUGGAAAAAUCAAAAAUCUAGCAUUUGCACAUGAUUCAACUCGAGUGAUCCAGUGCUUUAUUCAGUAUGGUAAUGACAAGCAAAGGCAAGAGACAUUUGAAGAGUUAAAAGAUAGCCUAGUGGAGUUGAGUAAGUCAAAAUAUUCCAGGAAUAUUGUGAAAAAGUUUCUUAUGUAUGGCACAAAACAACAAAUUGCUGAAAUAAUAAAAAGUUUUAAAGGUCACGUGAAAAAAAUGCUCCGUCAUGCUGAAGCAUCUGCUGUUGUGGAAUAUGCAUAUAAUGACAAAGCCAUUCUGGAACAAAGAAAUAUGCUGACAGAAGAACUAUAUGGAAAUACUUUUCAGGUUUACAAGACACCAGUUGUCCCAACACUGGAUAAAGUAUUAGAAGCUCAGCCUGAGAAGAGAGAGGCCAUCCUAGAUGAAAUGAAGCAGAUACUUGCACCAAUGGCACAAAAAGAGGCUGUGAUAAAACACUCACUGGUACAUAAAGUGUUUUUGGACUUUUUCGCUCAUGCUCUUCCAAAACAAAGAUCUGAAAUGAUAGAAGCUAUCAGAGAGGCUGUCAUCUACCUGGCACACACUCACGAUGGAGCCAGAGUAGCAAUGCACUGUUUAUGGCAUGGUACUCCCAAGGACAGAAAAGUUAUUGUGAAAACUAUGAAGACAUACAUUGAAAAAAUAGCAACGGGUGAAUUUUCUCAUUUGGUAUUGUUGGCAGCAUUUGAUUGCAUCGAUGACACUAAACUUGUGAAACAGUUGAUCAUAACUGAACUAAAUACUUCCUUGCCCAGUUUAAUUUCCAGUAAACAUGGAAAAAAGGUCUUGUUGUACUUGCUAAGUCCUAGAGACCCUGCACAUUUUGUUCCAGAAAUCAUCACACUUCUGCAACAGGGUGAUGGAAAUGCCUAUAGUAAGAAGAAUACUCAACUCCGCUGCCGUGAACUCCUGGAAGCCAUUUCCCCAUCAUUGCUAGAAUAUUUGCAAGAACAUACCCAAGAAGUAGUAAUGGACAAGGCUACGUUUGUCUUGGUUGCUGACAUCUUAAGAACAGCUACCGGUGAUAUUCAGCCCACACUAAAUGCAAUUGCUAAUUUAGCAGCAGAAGAGCUGGUUCCAGGUGGCCAUGAUGGGCAGCUUCACAUUGCAGAGCAUCCAGCAGGUCAUUUAGUGUUGAAAUGGUUAAUAGAGCAAGAUGAAAAAAUGAGAGAGAGUGGUAAAGACGGCUGCUUUGGAAGAACAUUGGUGGAAUGUGUUGGUAUUGAGAAAUUGAAGACCUGGGCAGAAGUAAAUCGAGGUGCCAUUGUUCUUUGUUGGUGGAUUCUGUGGGAGAAUUUGAAUACCAAGCGGAGAUGAUGGUUUGUACGGAAAGAGAAGCACUGGCAUGCACAUGAGGAAGUGGUCUCCCUCACCAACAAACCAAAGCUAUAAACCAGCAGAGCUUCGUGGAGGCACAGGCCUUCAGCGUACUCCGCGCCUCCAGCUGCAGCCGAGGAAGCUCACGCAGCGCGUCGUGCAUGCAGGGACCUGGCAGCCUUGGGCCUGAGGGCGGCAGCAGCGGACAAUUUUCCAGGCAGGGUCGGCGCUCCCCGGGAGCACUGCCCGCCCCACCGCUGCGGAGCGGCCGUCACAGCUUGAGUGUGAUGAAGGAAUGUACUUGAACUCCUAGAGCAUGCUGUGUCUGGUUUUUGUUUGUUUGUGUGUUUGUUUGUUGCUUGUGUCCU